UGAGGAAGGGAGGAGGAUUGGGCCACUGGGUGCGGUUACCGGGAACCCAGGCCCAUCAAUCACUGGCCACUUUUCGUGCUGGCAUGGAGAACAGUGAGGUGGAGGAGCAGGGGAGGUGCUGGGGAGAGGUGCCAGCAUUUCCUCCAGUGGCCAGGACCUCCCAAAGCAGUUGACUUGGGCCUGGAGCCCGAAAUCACAGCCAGGGUAGUAGGUAAGGUGGUUUCUUGGUGUUUUGUCCAGUCGGCUUAGCCCAAGGAAUGUGGUAAACUUGUGAAAGGAAGUUGGGAACGGAGGUCUGAGGUUCCUGAAGAAAGAGGGACAAGCGCGAGGGGCCAUGGACCCAAAGACUGGUGAGGUGACUGGAGGGCAGAGUUGAGAGCAGAGUGGUUCCUCUGUCCUGACGUGAAGAAAGUGUCCUGGAGGUUAUGUACAAAUGAGUGUGGUGCCUUGGGGUCUGGACCAUGGAACCUCACUGCUGCAAGGAAGCCAACGUGGCGUUCAUCUUGCCCGACCCUUUACUUUACAGAUGUGGAAACCAAGAGCCAGAGAGGGGAAUUUGGUGGAAUCCUGUCCUGCAGUUGCUCUGUGUUCCUGCAUUUGGAAAGUUCCUGGAAAUAGGAAAAGGAGAAGCAUGUAGGUGUGGAGGGAGGAAAGUCAGAUGAGGAGGGCAAGCAGGAUCUUAUCGGCCACCGGCUGACGUCUCACAUCUCGGACCCUCGAGUCUUAGAAGCGGCAUGGCCAAGGCCCGGAGUGUGGUCCUCAGCACUAAAAAAAAGCAAGGUAGAGGAGUCAGGCAGGUGCAGCCUGUGGAGCAUUACUGGGGGACAUUUCCUUCACACCACCAGUCCAGGGCUGUCUCAUCCGUCCCCAGGCUUCCAAGUAGAUGGAAUUCCUGCAGCCCUGCUCCGUGGGAUUUUGUCAUGGCCUCUAAGGUUCACAGGGAAGGAAAUGACUCCUUCACCAGAAAUAAAUCCCCAACCAAGACUAAAUAGUGAACGCUUUUGGAACUCUUAGCCCAAGUUUGUCUGCUGUAAAUUAAGCCAUUAGAGAAAGUUACACCAAAAAGUGUAAUGAGAAGUGAUCUUCUACCUCUUCUCCAUGUCUAAGCCUAGAACAGACGGAAUUGAGAUGCAAGGCCCUGAAGGUGGAGUUCCCAGGAUACCUGGCCCUGCAUCUCUUAGUCAGAGCCACUCUGGCUCUUGUGGCUUUGGUACCUGGACAGAAAGACAGCUUUCAGCCACCACUUUCCCCACCCCUUCCUUCCCUUCCUGUUUACCUGCUUGGGGGAAGGAAGGAAGAGUGAGGCGACAGGAGCUUCCUGCCAGGUUGCCAAAGGUGGUCUUUCUUAGCACCCUCCUCUUUCCUCAAAAUAUUCAAGACUCUGUUCCAAGCUUCGUGACACAAAGUUGGGGUAGGAGCAAAGAUACAGAGCUUGGAGGCAGCCAGUGGAAACUGUCCCACUCCAGGCCACCACACCCUCUUCCCACCCCAAAAACUGUCUUCUCUGUCCUAGUGGACCACUUCAUACCCCCGGCCCUGGGGAGGAGCAGGAUCUGCCUCUCCGGUCCCAGCCUCACGCUGCCCUUCCCUGAGUCGCCCCGAGUCUGCUUGCUUGCUGUUCGAUCUUCAGCCCACUCCACAGCCCGUGGGGUGAGAAGGCCCUUGUGUCCCCGAGCACAGCUGGAGAGACCCCUCCAAGGACCGCUGCCUUCUUUGAAGCACUGAGGGCUGCUGGUGGAGAACUGGGCCAGGGCUGGAAAGGAAGGUUCUGCCAUCAGGGGUUAUGGGGAAGCCUGCAAGUGGGGAGCAGGCAGAGGUGACAUCCUAACCCUCUGGGCAGGGACAUUCACAGUGAGUGUCACUUGGGGGUUUAUUAGUGGCAGCUGUGUACAAGCUGCUCUUUCUAUCUGGAACCCAGAGCAGUGAAAAAGAACACGCAGUGGAGGCUCUGCCACCCUCACUCACCCUUUGUUACCCGUCUCCCCUCCCUACUGCAGCAUAUUGCAGGGGCUGGAAGGUCCUGACACCCUCACCCCAGAUUCUGGGUGUUUCCCUAAAGAACAGAGCCUCCCUCCCUCUGGCCCUGCCGGCCCUGCCUCACACUCCAAGGUCUCUGCAGCCUGCUGGCUGAGCCUGGAGCUUGCCCUGGAGUCCAGGAGAAACCUAGAGCUGUUUGGGGGAAAGAGGGUGGACGAGCUGCAUGGAAGGCAGAGGAGGCAGCAUCCAGAAUUCCCUGCCUUCUGGAGGAAAGGAAAGGAACGGGUCAAGGUGCCUGGCACUGACUUGGCACAGCUUCUUUUCUGUGGGACCCAGCCUCUCCCUCCCUUUCCUGUGCUUGGGAGAACUGCAGAAACUCGAGCCUGUCCCUCGGAUACCUGGAGGACACAUGCAGGUUCCCAGUGCUGGGAAAGGCAGGAGUGAGGGGGAGGGGAGGUGGCAGUGUGUGGUGCCCAUCAGCACCCAAGGGGAGGGCCGAGGAGGAAGCCCGAGGACAUGCCUGCCCAAAACAGCCGCCGUACCCCACCCUCUCCUGCUCCCCCUUCAUGCCAGUGAGCUGUGCCCAAGUACCAGUUCUCCUGGCUGGCAAUCCCGUUCUGUGUGCAGGCAGCCGGCUCCCUCUCCCAGAACAGCAUAGGCUGGGAUCUCUCACACUCCUCACUCUGGCUCUCUCAUCUCUGUGUGUCUGUUGUGGAUUCCAAGGGAUGCAGGGGGCUGGCCCUGUGGUAAAGGGGCAGCCCUGGGCCCCUUAGGUGCCUAUUGGCUGGGCUGGCGGAGUAGGGCAGGGAGACUGCUGACAACUUGGGGGAGCCAGAGGUUAUGGAGGGCAGCUAUCCCCAAGGGCUAGAGGGCUACACGUGUGCUGGAGCAGCCCAAUCCCCGGCUUCUUCCAGGAGAGGAGACCGCUACUCCUCCCUGCCCUCCCUGCUGCCUAAAACCCUGGGUAGCCAGCAAGACCAGAACCUGGACAGAUGCUCACCUCUCGGUGCUGUCCACCCUAGAGCAGGUACCUGGGACCAGAGAGGAGCAGCAAGGGGCUGGGGCUGGCUGAAAGGCCUGGGCAGGCUGGGAAUGGUGCAGAACCACAGGUGUUUGAAAGCACUAAUGCCCUCCCCAUUCACAGGCCAGGUGGGCAGAUGCGCCUUCUCCAUCCUCUCUGGAUCGGGGUGACAGGAGGCUGCGCUGGAGGUCACACCAGCUCCUCCUGCAGCUGGGGUGAGGGGCCCAAUGCCCAGCUUCUCCUAAUGAUCCAGCAACAGCUUUGCUUGGAAAAGAGACCACCCACACUUCACCCAGGGCAGCAGGUCGGCCCUGGACCCUCCCCUCCUCCGAGGCAGCACCAGAAGCCUAGGGAGCCUGUGACAAAGCUUGGUCCUGACUCCCAGCACAGCCCUGCGCUCUGGGUGUGAAAGCUGCGCUGUGAGGGGCCUGGGUGCACCAGGCGGGUCGUGGGCAGGUGUGGGGCACUGAGCCCCAGGAGCAAGCUCUUCCUGGCUCCCUGCUGAGAGCCUCCUGCUUUUGAGGCCUUUGCACCAGAGACUGCCAUCAGGAUCUGAACCCAGCCGCCCAGAUUCUGCUGCCUCCCCAACCCUGCGGAUGCCUGGGGACUGGCAAAGACUCAUCUGUCCUCAUCCUGGCUACACGUAUGCCCAGGCCUAGACUGGUGUGUGCACUGGCACUGGGGCCCUGCCUCGGAGCAGAGGGCAGCCUAGGUGUGCACUGGGGCCCCAGCCCUGAAUGCAUGUGUGCCUGUGCAUUGGGCACACUGGUUUAUUAGUGUUAUUUCAGCAUUGUGAUGCAGAGAGAGUAAGUGUAACAGCUGCUCCUUGCUUGCAGUGUUUAUUGUUACCUAGAGACAACCUCCUGGCUUUUUCCCAGCUCCCCUCCCCCCAGCCCAGCCCCCUCCCUGCCAACAAUCCUGCUCUCCCUACACUGAUGGGAAAUUUAUAGCUUGUCCAUACCAUGCCUUUAACCCUCUCCUGUCCGUCGGUGGAUGGGCCAGGAAGCCAGGCUGAGCAGUGGGCAUACUUGGGCCCCAGCAGAGUUGAACAAUGUGUGGGAGAGAGAGGGAGGAAUGACACGUCCCCCUCCACCCUGUGUGCCCAGGCUCAGGCCCCAGUUGCCCUCCUGGUCCUCACAAGAAGAGAGGAGAGGAAAGAGCUCUUGACCUGCUCUUGAGAUCUGGGAAGAGUUCUUUUGGCCCUAGCCUCAGGGUCCCGACAUCCUCCUGACAAGACCUUUCUCUUCCCUGGGCAACCCUAAGCCCCCAGCUGCAUUAGCUGAACCAGAGCGAUGGAGCCAGGUAGCACUGAAGUGGAAGUGGAAAACCCAAGUAGCAGAACCCUUAGCCCCUCUUUUCUGUCUGAGAGAGGCAACUCUAGAGAUGUCUGGCCAGAUACUGGCCAGACCUCCACGUCUGGGUAGACAUCAGACCGGAAGCCCACUGUAUCCUGAGUCUGAGAUGGCACCCAGGUCCCAGGAGACUCCUGGGCUCAUCUGCAAGCUGGCCUUGGUCUGCCUGUCCUUCCUGCUCCAUCUCUCCUGUGUGUCUUUUGGUUUGGUACCUUGGACAGAGGCCAAAGGGGCUGAAGCACCCUCAUCAUGUCCUCCGAGGAGCUGGGAAAAUAGAAGUCCCUGGAACCAUUCAUGGAGAAGUCAGGAGGAACCAGGCCAUCAGCUCCCCAUCCUCACUGGAAGCAAAGGGAGAAAAGAGACUGGACGUCAGCAGGCAAGAUGGAGGUUAAACACACGAGAAAACUUCCUCUAGGAUGAAAGACCAGAGUGGGCCUACUUCUCUCCAGAGGUCUGUCUUCUGCCUACAAGGGAUUGGAGUCCUACAUGUACAGGGAACGCCGGAGAACGUGCUUCCUUCUGCGGGCUGCCUCAGUCUCCACACAGCACACCUCCUCACGCCAUCAAAAUAUCAUACCUGUGGUGCUCAGAUCACGGAUUAACCCAGCAGAGGGCCAGGUUCCAGUGCCAGCCCUGCCACUCGCCAGCUGCCUUGGUAAGUCACUUGGCCCCUUUGAGCCUGAGUGUCCUUAUCUGUGAUGUGCAGGUGAACAGCUCCCCUUGGGUGGUUGUGAGAAUCUGCACACACAUGUGUAAAGCACCCAGGACAGUGCCCGACAGUGGGCACGCAAUGCAGUAGAGCACUGUUACUGCAGAGCCAGCAGGGCCCACGUGGUUCCACACUCUGUGAUGCCCCCCACUUGCCAGGAGAAUGUUCGUUGUUUUCUUCAUGGCGUGGACUAGAGUGGCAGUGCCCUAGAAAGGACCCAGAUUCCCCAAGGAGUCAGUUCCCCCAUUCCCGUGCCUCCCUAGCCAGGAAAGAAGCUAUGGUCCCAUGCCACCUCUUAGCCACUCUUGUACCUGGCAGCCCUAAGAAGGAUAGCAACAACUAGCUUUCUCCAGGCACUUUACAGUUUGCCAAGUACAUUGACCUACAUUAGCUCUUUUUUUGGUACUGGGGAUCAAACUCAGGACCCUGUGCUUGCAAAGCAGGCAGUGGAACCACUGAGCUACAUCUCCAGCCCCUAUAUUAGCUCUUUUGAUAUCCAGAGCAAUCCAGGAAGAAAAGAGAACUGCAUUUAUUGGGUGUCUACUAUGUACCAGCAUUGUACUGGGUGAUUUUUUAAAUUUGUUGUUUUUGGGUUGAUUUUGUGUUUUUUGUUUGUUUUGGUUUUGGGUUUUGGGAAGAUGGGGUGACACAGGGUCUCACUAUGUAGUCGAGGCCAGCCUUGAACUCACUGUGUAUCCCAAACUAGCCUUGAACUCAUAGAGAUCCUCCUGCCUCAGCCACCCCAGUGCAGGGAUUACAGAUUGUACCACCAUGUCAGGCUCUGAGUGUUUUUUUUUGCGGGGGGGUACCGGGGAUCGAACUUGGGACCUUGCAUUUGCGAGGCAGGCGCUGGAACCACUGAGCUAAAUCCCCAGCCCUUCUGGGUGUAUUUUUUUAAAGCAUCUUUAAAGUCUACGUAGAGUAUUUUAUCACCUACAUACACUGUGAUUUAUGUCUCAUCACCUAUUUUUAAUCAUUUAUAUCUUUUCACUGCUAUAAAUAAUAUGGCAGUGAAUAUCCAAACACAUAAAAUUUCUUCCCUUUUUUCCCCCCUGUAUAUGUGUGUGUGUGGUACUGGGGAUUGAACCCUGGACCUUGCACAUACUAGGCAGGCGCUCUUCCACUGAGCUAUAUUCCCAGCCUGUUUUUAACAUUUGUUUGUUUAUUUAUUUAUUUAUUUAUUUAGACAAAGUCUUGCUAAAUUGCCCAGGCAGGCCUCACAUUUUGAAUAUUCCUGCCUCAGCCUCAUGAAUAGCUGAGAUUAUAAGCGGGCAUCCUGCUUGGCUUCAUGCAUUGUUAAUAAUACAUUCCAAGAAGUGGAAUUAUUGGGUCAAUAGAUACAAAUACCCCCCAUGGUUAUGAUCAUUUCAUUGAUGUACCAUAAUGAGAAUAAUAUUUAUUAACCUUCCUCUUUGGAAUUCUACAAUGGGAACACAUGGGCAGCUCCUUCUCCCCUAUACCCAGCAGAGACAUUAAUAAUUUGUCAUAACAUUUAGUAAGAAAAUGAGAUAAGUAUAGAUUCCCAUGCUGCUGUUAAGAAAUAAUACAGUGAUCUCAUGUGCACCUUGCCCACUUUCACUGAAUGGUAACGGUUUGCAAAGCCAUAUUAUGAUAUCACAGCCAGAAUAUUGACAUUGCUACAAUCUACCGGCCUUGUAAAUGUUUCUCUUGUUCUUGUCUGGGUAUGUGUAUAUUAAGUCCUAAGCUGUUUUAUUACCUGUGUAAGUUUGUAUAUCCACCACUAUAGUCCCAGCACCACAAAGAUUCCUCAUGUUUUAUUUUUAUAAUCACACCUAUUUCUCUACCCCCGCUUAAUAUUUUGUACCACUACUCUGUCCUCCUCUUCUAAAUUUUGUCACUUCAGGAACUGAAACAUACAACACGUAACCUUUUAGGAUUGGGUCUUUUCACACAGCACAAUUCCCAGGAGAUCAUCCAAGUUUUCGUGGGUAUCAACGGUUCACUGCUUUCAUUUAUCUCCAGUAUAGAUACACCACAGCUUCUUUAACCAUUCACCUGUCGGAGGACAUCUGGGCUGAUUCCAGUUUUGGGCUAUUACAAAUAAAGUUGUUAUGAACCAUCAUGUAUGAAUUUUUGUAUGAACAUAAAUAUUUUUAAUGUUAACAAAUUGUCUUAUCAGCAAAAGUUCUCUCACUUUGUUCGCUAGUACUAGCAAUGAAUGAAGUUGCCCAUUUUACUUAGUUUGCUGAAUGUUUUAUAGUCGUGAUUAUUAACCCCCGUUAUGGUUUCUACCUAGAUGUCCGCCCAAAGCCUCAUGUGCUCGCGGGGCUGGGUGGUGGGGGGUGUCACGGCUGCCUGGCUCUUAAGAGGUGGGUCUGGUUGGAAGAGGGUCACUGGGGCGGGACCAGAAGAGUGUGUCUCCCUCCCUGGCUCCUCCCGUACCUCCGCCAGGACCUGAGCAGCUUUACCCUCCCAGACCCUUCUGCUUUGCUGUUUCUAUGUUUGAGUCUGCCAAAUGGACUGAAACUUCUAAAAUGGAAGCCAAAAUAAAUGUCUU
ensembl:lncRNA